AGCCUUUAGCCCCACAAGUAUUAAAGGUCCCACCUGCCCAGUGACUUCUUAAACGGCCGCGGUAACCCUAACCGUGCGAAGGUAGCGUAAUCACUUGUCCUCUAAUUGGGGACUGGUAUGAACGGCCCCAUGAGGGCCUAACUGUCUCCUCUGACCCGUCAAUGAAUCUGAUCUUCCAGUACAAAAGCUGGACUAAACCCAUAAGACGAGAAGACCCUGUGGAGCUUCAGAUUUCGCGCUAAAACACCCGUUACAUAGCGCGCCUCUUUAGUUGGGGCAACUACGGAAUAAAACAAAACUUCCAUGCCACGGACUAUGUCCCACAAAGGCACACGCGCCAAUGUGAUCCCCAAACGACCCAGCACAGCUGAUUAACGAACCAAGUUACCCCAGGGAUAACAGCGCCAUCCUCUUCAAGAGCCCCUAUCGUCAAGAGGGUUUACGACCUCGAUGUUGGAUCAGGGCCCCCAGGUGGUGCAGCCGCUACCAAAGGUUCGUUUGUUCAACGAUUAAAGUCCU
rnacentral:rRNA from 1 species